UACAGAGGGGGCAAGCGUUGUUCGGAUUCAUUGGGCGUAAAGGGUGCGUAGGCGGCGCGGUAAGUCGGGUGUGAAAUCUUGGAGCUUAACUCCGAAACUGCAUUCGAUACUGCCGUGCUUGAGGACUGGAGAGGAGACUGGAAUUUACGGUGUAGCGGUGAAAUGCGUAGAUAUCGUAAGGAAGACCAGUGGCGAAGGCGGGUCUCUGGACAGUUCCUGACGCUGAGGCACGAAGGCCAGGGGAGCAAACGGG
rnacentral:rRNA from 1 species